UCGUACCUACGGGAGGCAGCAGUGAGGAAUAUUGGUCAAUGGGCGGGGGCCUGAACCAGCCAAGUCGCGUGAAGGAAGAAGGUACUUAGUAUUGUAACCUUCUUUUGUCGGGGAACAAAGGCGGAGACGCGUCUCCGGAUGAGUGUACCCGAAGAAAAAGCAUCGGCUAACUCCGUGCCAGCAGCCGCGGUAAUAUGGAGGAUGCGAGCGUUAUCCGGAUUUAUUGGGUUUAAAGGGUGCGCAGGCGGGAGAUCAAGUCAGCGGCAAAAUGUCGGG
rnacentral:rRNA from 1 species